GGAGUGGCUGCUCGGGGUUCCAAAGGGGGGAGAACUGGGGCGGGACCCCAUGGGGAGAGUUCCUGUUUGCUCUUCCAGGUCGCGUCAGCGGGUGAAGGUGGCUUCUUUAACAAACUGAAAAAAGAGGGGAAAGAUGGGAGGUUUGUGAUGUAAGCUUUAUAUUAAGUCCGCCACCCCUAAGCAUCGAGAGGGCUGAAGGGUGCACCUGAUGCAGUGUUUGUUUCCAGCAGUGGCAGAACAGAUGCCUCUGUUAAAGUCUCCAGGCGCUUGGUCUAUCGAAGAUAGGCUGCUGCUGAAUGUGGAGGUUCCAUCAUCUGGCCAUCCUAGUUAACAGACCUACAUAGCCCCGUCCUCUCCGGUGCAUGUUUGCUCAGAACAUCAAGCUCCCAUGGAACUGGCCGGACCUUUGAAGUUCUUUGUUGGGAUGACUUGUGUGUCUCCUCCAAAAUCUUGGAAAUGCAUCAUUUGCAUCUGGAGGGAAGCUGCAACUGACACCAAUGGAAACUUCACUUCUGAUGUAAACAGCAGCUUUCUUAAGGUAAGGUCACUUGUCAUCAGGGAUAGCUGGGGUAGGGGGAAGGAUUAAACCUUUUCUUCCCCCUUCUGUGGUCCUGCUGCUUUUGUCCCCAUGGCUACUAUUUGCAAUUUUUUUAAAAGUGCACUUUCAUAAACGUGCACGUUAACUGCAUUAAUGUAAUUAACUUCUCAUCUAGUUUGGCUUUCAAAGAUAAAGGCUUAUUCAUAAGGAAUGAGAAAGAGAUUCUACUUUCUUUUGACUGAAUGUGGCUUUUCCAGAUACGGUAGAAGGUUGUCACAUUCAUUUCAUACAUUUCUUUAAAAAAAAAAAAGCAGUACUGAAAGAUUAACCAGAAAGAGUCUUUCCUACCUGGAACUCUCCCAAAAUAAAGUGGUUGAGCAUGGCUGGUGGAGAGCAUAGCUGAUGGUCCAGUGGUGGAGUUACUCUUCGCAUCUACUUCGAGGUACACAAUGUUCUGUUUCCGAGUUACUAUAAACACAUGAAUCAGUUAGUCCUGCCUUUCAUCAAUACAUCCCUCAGUUUCAGUCACAGUAAUACAGUACUUCACUUAAAUCCUUUCUCCUUGGAUCUAUCUAUCUAUCUAUCUAUCUAUCUAUCUAUCUAUCUAUCUAUCUAUCUAUCUAUCUAUGAAUGAAAAUCUUUCCUCACCUACAAUUCCAAGACACCUAUUGUAGACAAAUACAAUAUGUCUGUAGGUAGCCAUGUUUAAAUAUUAGCCUGGUGUUGGUUGCUAGCCCUUUUCUCCCUGAAUUACGUCUCCCCAUGCAUCUUUUACCCCAAACCUGUUCACCUUGCAACCGUAGGUCUGAAAACCCAGGGGGGGGAGGAAACAGCUGGGGGAGAGAGGAUCUAAGGAAAAUAGGCUAGGAUAGCUACAUAUUACAGCUGCAGUGUAAUAUGUAGUUUGGAAUGCAGGAAUGUUAUUUGCAGUACUAUAGUUUGUUUCAUUCUUAUUCCAGUGAGAAAACCACGUGAGAAAAAGAGCAAAUAUGACUCCACCAAUCCACCAUCUAAUGUUACUUAAUGAAUCUGUUAACUGAAGCAACAAAUCACCUUGCUUUCGAACAAUCCUGCUGUAAAAAGGUAAAGGUACCCCUGACUGUUAGAUCCAGUCACGGACGACUCUGGGGUUGCGGCGCUCAUCUCGCUCUAUAGGCCGAGGGAGCCAGUGUUUGUCCGCAGACAGCUUCCAGGUCAUGUGGCCAGCAUGACUAAGCUGCUUUUGGCAAACCAGAGCAGCGCACGGAAACAUCGUUUACCUUCCCGCCAGAGUGGUACCUAUUUAUCUACUUGCACUUUGAUGUGCUUUUGAACUGCAAGGUGGGCAGGAGCUGGGACUGAGCAACAGGAGCUCACCCCGUCACAGGGAUUCAAACUGCCGACCUUCCGAUCAGCAAUCCCUAGGCUCAGUGGUUUAGACCACGGCGCCACCUGCAUCCUGCUGUAGUCCCACUGAAAUCUAUGGGACUACUCUUAGAUUAUUCUGAACUGAUUUACAGAUUGCAUUCAUAACACGUGUAUAGUCAGAAUUCAUAUCAAGCUAAACUCAGGAUGCACACAAAUCUUAAACAGAUACAAUUUAAGUUAUGCAUUUAAAGAAUAUUAGUUAAAAUGCAUUAGAAAUCCAGUUAGUCAUCUUUAAAAAGCAUGAAGUGCUACUUUUUUUUUAGCGCUCAGCAAUGUCUGACUCUCAUUUUCUUGCCUCUAAAGAACUGCUGAAUGAGAUUGCAUAGUACCUGCUAUGGAGUGCCAUUUUCCAUCACAGAGAGACUGCCGAGGCGUGACUGACGUUGAGAACUCUCCAGCACCAUUAUUACCAGAGGCAGUGAGCUGUGAAAACAGACAUAUUUUAAAUUAGCAGUAACAAAAGGAAUAAAAUAAAAGCAUGGACACAUGAAAAUGUGGCGAUGAAAUAUUUUCUGAGCCUGAUUAAUUUAGCCAAUGCUUUUAGGGACAGUUGUCUCACUUGUAAACCCUAGAUUGCUAUGCUGUUGCUCUUUGGGUACUUCCAAUCCACAGAAAUGCCAAGAAAGUGUGUUUUUUUAUUCUGUGCAUUACUUUGGUGAAAAGGAAGUAGCCACGUUAAGAGUUUUCUAGGUGGUUAUUGCUAAGUUGAAGCUGAUUUAAUAGUUAAUUUAUACUUAACAUCACAAGACGUUGGCUUACACUGCCCUUGACAACGCCAGUGUCUGCAGUGAAGCUUAGAUAUUGUCCAUUUUCAGAUGUGUCCCAUACUGCUGCCCUGUACCACAUAAAUAUAUAGGAACCAUGAAAACUGAGCCAGGUUCUAUUUGCACAACUCCAUCUCUUCACCUGCAUAGUCCAUCACCAGUUAUAUUUGCCAUGCUUAAACGUGACACAAGUCUGGGAGCAGACUUUUGUAAAUACUGAUACCUAGAUCUUAGUAGUUCAAAGUAGAUGCUCCCUUCCCUCACCGACUCUGUCUUCACCAAAUCUGGGGUGGGUGGGGGAGAGAUGGAAUCACACCUACCAUGCCUUCUUCCAUGUACACAGUUAAAUAGUUCCUUUGUUUGCUGCCAGUAUGAAUUAAAAUGCCACUCAAGCUUCUUGAACGAAUGUUAAAUACAACCCUGUAGUCCAAGCUCAAUGAAAAAGCAUUU